rnacentral:lncRNA from 10 species
AGUUUUCGGCAAGUUCCCUUCUGUGGAGAGAAGAUCACACAUGAUGCGAUUCCUCCCGUGAUCUCAGUGAUUGUAUCAGGCGAAAACGAGGAGGGCAAAAUACCGUCCAGAUGUAAACUAGGAGCAGCCGCACCAGCAGCACCAGCAGAAUGCCGUGGUAGUGCGGCAGGCCCUGGCCCCAUGGACAAAGAGAAACUCGUCAGUGGCAGUGGCCACGAACUCAGAAAGCCUGAGGACAGUCAGCAGCUCCUCUGGCUCUUCACUUUCACACUGGUGCAACUACAGGAGCUGAAGAACAUUUUUCAACUCGUUCCAUACCCGGACGUGUUAGGAUCAGAUUCAUCAUUGGACUCCUGGACCUAUCACUGCGGACCUCAAAUGUGCACCUUUUAAGCCCUUUCCUUCACUCCUGACUGAUUGAUUUGGGAUCCACUGCUAAGUCAGACUUUUGAACCAUUGUUCCAGGCAAACUUCU